rnacentral:rRNA from 1 species
UCUCACAAACCGUGGCUCAGUUCAGAUCGUAGGCUGCAACUCGCCUACGUGAAGCAGGAAUCGCUAGUAAUCGCAGGUCAGCAUACUGCGGUGAAUACGUUCCCGGGCCUUGUACACACCGCCCGUCACACCAUGGAAGUUGGCCAUGCCCGAAGCCGUUACUCCAACCCUUGUGGAGGAGGAUGUCGAAGGUGGGGCUGAUGACUGGGGUGAAGUCGUAACAAGGUAGCCGUACCGGAAGGUGCGGCUGGAUCACCUCCUAA